UACGAAGGGGGCUAGCGUUGUUCGGAUUUACUGGGCGUAAAGCGCACGUAGGCGGAUUCUUAAGUCAGGGGUGAAAUCCCGAGGCUCAACCUCGGAACUGCCUUUGAUACUGGGGAUCUCGAGUUCGGGAGAGGUGAGUGGAAUUGCGAGUGUAGAGGUGAAAUGCGUAGAGAUCGGCAGGAACACCCAGGGGGAAACCAGCCGACUGGGCAUCUACUGACGCGGAGGUGCGAGAGCGUGGGGGAGCGAACCGG
rnacentral:rRNA from 1 species